GUCAUUUUCCGGAGUGUUCAGUGAAGCAUGUUCUGCUUUGAAGAACGUGGUUUUAAAUAAGUAUUUUUCUCUCAGUGGAUGGUUUUAGUAAGAGUUUGGUUUUUUUGCUCAAUUGGAAAAGCACCUGACCGGAAAUCAGAAGUUUUGUGGUUCGAUUCCCAAUGGAGUGAAGAUGGAGUAGGAUCUUUUUUUCAAGAAAUAAUUUUAAUUCAAAGGAAUAUUACUCCAAAUUCAAUAGUUUGCGAAUAACUCAUCUAAUUCCAGGUA